rfam:Triticum aestivum genome assembly, contig: Triticum_aestivum_CS42_TGACv1_scaffold_049649_1BS
CAUGUACUCCCUCCGUCCCAAAAUUCUUGUCUUAGAUAUGUCUAAAUACGAAUGUACCAAGUCAUGUUUUAGUAUUAGAUACAUCCGUAUCUAGAUGAAUCUAAGACAAGAAUUUUGGGACGGAGGGAGUACAUA